GAUGAACGCUGGCGGCGUGCCUAAUACAUGCAAGUCGAGCGAACAGACGAGGAGCUUGCUCCUCUGACUUUAUCGGCGGACGGGUGAGUAACACGUGGAUAACCUACCUAUAAGACUGGGAUAACUUCGUGCCACCGGAGCUAAUACCGGAUAAUAUAUUGAACCGCAUGGUUCAAUAGUGAAAGACGGUUUUGCCGUCACUUAUAGAUGGAUCCGCGCCGCAUUAGCUAGUUGGUAAGGUAACGGCUUACCAAGGCAACGAUGCGUAGCCGACCUGAGAGGGUGAUCAGCCACACUGGAACUGAGACACGGUCCAGACUCCUACGGGAGGCAGCAGUAGGGAAUCUUCCGCAAUGGGCGAAAGCCUGACGGAGCAACGCCGCGUGAGUGAUGAAGGUCUUCGGAUCGUAAAACUCUGUUAUUAGGGAAGAACAAAUGUGUAAGUAACUAUGCACGUCUUGACGGUACCUAAUCAGAAAGCCACGGCUAACUACGUG
rnacentral:rRNA from 1 species